rnacentral:lncRNA from 1 species
UGCUCCUCCUGCUUUUGGCCAAUAGCAAGUAGCCAGCCGCUCCUCUCCCUCCUCCCCAGCCCCUCACUUUCCCUACGAUUGGCGGAUCCACUCUUCCCGCGGGCGCCCGCGGGGCGGGCUCUCGCGAGGCUAUAGGCUUUUGUUAAACCCAGGCCACUGACUCACCUUUCUCUCUUUUUGACGGCGGCGAAGGUGGAGGAUGCAGGCGGCCUGCAGGGCCUAAGGUUCUUCGUGGAAGGGCUGCCCUGGCUACAGUGUCGCUGCUUUGAAGAUGUGAACUGUUAAAAACCCAUUUGCUAUAGGAACAGGAAGGCGCUCAGAGUUCCUGAGGCUGAGGGCUUCGAAGGCCUUGGAAAACUGAAAGUUACUAUAUGACUUUGCAGUUAUCAGUAUUUCAGAUGAAGAGGCCAAAGGACUUGCACAGAACACUAGGAAUUAUCGAGGAAUUGCCAUGUGUUAGUUUUAGUCUUCAGCUAAGAAAUGCCUGUUGCACACUUGGAGAAAUUCACCUUUUGGGAAGGAGAGCAUGGAAACUGUUUAAUUGUAAUGAAAUAAAAAUAAAGCUUGUACAAAAGACUAAAGUUCUUUGGUGAUAUUUGGUAAUUAACACUUCUGCC